rnacentral:lncRNA from 13 species
UCUGGAAGCCAGGCCUGUGUGUGGGAGCAGCUGAGCCAGCAAUACAGCUACAGGGCAUGGAGCAAAGGGAAAUUGAGUCUGUGCCUGGGCGGAGGCAAGUUUGUUCCAGAAAGUCCAGAGUACCUAGUCCAAAGUGGAAAAUAGCUAAGAGGGAGAACUGGCUUUUUAUCAAAGGGCUGCCACAGAAAACAAGAAACAUGAGCACGGCAUUAGGGAAGUGAAGCCUGUGGGUAAUUUGUGGUGGAAAGGGGUUGGAAGAGAAAGGACUGUUUGAUGGGGUGCCUACUGUAUUGAGCUCCAGGCAGCAAAGGUAUUACGAAAGCCAUCAAGUUGGAGGACCGGGAAAGGAAAGUGGAUCUGGGCAGCUUUCCCAGAGGAGCAAGUAUUUCACCUGUGGCAUAGCUGAUACCUCUUGCUACAUGGCAAGAGCCCCCGCGGAACUGCUGUGGCUUGCAAAUGAAUCUCCUCCGGGACGAGGAGGGGGAACCAGAAGAUACCUUGCAUGCUGAAGCUCUGCUCGUUCUAUGACUUGGGUGCUCUUUCUGAAAAACCAGGUUGGCCUUCUCAGUCUAUGAAGAAAAGGAGGGUGGCAAAAGUACCCUGCACAGGUAUGACAAAUGGAAGACCGGUGGCUACACUCACAAGCCCAAAGACCAGAGUGGGCAGGAGGCAGGCAGGCCUGUCUCCCCACCAGCCCCAGGUCUGCAGGGGACUGAAGGCUGCAGGCAGCUGUUCUCUCUGA